GAUGAACGCUGGCGGCGUGCCUAAUACAUGCAAGUCGAGCGAAUGGAUUAAGAGCUUGCUCUUAUGAAGUUAGCGGCGGACGGGUGAGUAACACGUGAGUAACCUGCCCAUAAGACUGGAAUAACUCCGGGAAACCGGGGCUAAUACCGGAUAACAUUUUGAACCGCAUGGCUCGAAAUUGAAAGGCGGCUUCGGCUGUCACUUAGGGAUGGACCAGGGUCGCAUUAGCUAGUUGGUGAGGUAACGGCUCACCAAGGCAACGAUGCGUAGCCGACCUGAGAGGGUGAUCGGCCACACUGGGACUGAGACACGGCCCAGACUCCUACGGGAGGCAGCAGUAGGGAAUCUUCCGCAAUGGACGAAAGUCUGACGGAGCAACGCCGCGUGAGUGAUGAAGGCUUUCGGGUCGUAAAACUCUGUUGUUAGGGAAGAACAAGUGCUAGUUGAAUAAGCUGGCACCUUGACGGUACCUAACCAGAAAGCCACGGCUAACUACGUGCCAGCCGCCGCGGUAA
rnacentral:rRNA from 1 species